rnacentral:rRNA from 1 species
UACGUAGGGUGCAAGCGUUGUCCGGAAUUAUUGGGCGUAAAGAGCUCGUAGGCGGUUCGUCGCGUCGGCUGUGAAAUCCCGAGGCUCAACCUCGGGUCUGCAGUCGAUACGGGCGGACUGGAGUUCGGCAGGGGAGACUGGAAUUCCUGGUGUAGCGGUGAAAUGCGCAGAUAUCAGGAGGAACACCGGUGGCGAAGGCGGGUCUCUGGGCCGAUACUGACGCUGAGGGGCGAAAGCGUGGGGAGCGAACAGG